rnacentral:rRNA from 1 species
UGGGGAAUUUUGGACAAUUGGGCGAAAGCCUGAUCCAGCAAUGCCGCGUGUGUGAAGAAGGCCUUCGGGUUGUAAAGCACUUUUGUCCGGAAAGAAAUCCUUGGCUCUAAUACAGUCGGGGGAUGACGGUACCGGAAGAAUAAGCACCGGCUAACUACGUGCCAGCAGCCGCGGUAAUACGUAGGGUGCAAGCGUUAAUCGGAAUUACUGGGCGUAAAGCGUGCGCAGGCGGUUUGCUAAGACCGAUGUGAAAUCCCCGGGCUCAACCUGGGAACUGCAUUGGUGACUGGCAGGCUAGAGUAUGGCAGAGGGGGGUAGAAUUCCACGUGUAGCAGUGAAAUGCGUAGAGAUGUGGAGGAAUACCGAUGGCGAAGGCAGCCCCCUGGGCCAAUACUGACGCUCAUGCACGAAAGGCGUGGGGAGCAAAACAGGAUUAGAUACCCUGGUAGUCCACGCCCUAAACGAUGUCAACUAGUUGUUGGGGAUUCAUUUCCUUAGUAACGUAGCUAACGCGUGAAGUUGACCGCCUGGGGAGUACGGUCGCAAGAUUAAAACUCAAA